UACGAAGGGGGCUAGCGUUGCUCGGAAUCACUGGGCGUAAAGCGCACGUAGGCGGCUUCUUAAGUCAGGGGUGGAAUCCUGGAGCUCAACUCCAGAACUGCCCUUGAUACUGAGAGGCUCGAGUCCGGGAGAGGUGAGUGGAACUCCGAGUGUAGAGGUGAAAUUCGUAGAUAUUCGGAAGAACACCAGUGGCGAAGGCGGCUCACUGGCCCGGUACUGACGCUGAGGUGCGAAAGCGUGGGGAGCAAACAGG
rnacentral:rRNA from 1 species